UUUCGCUCUAUACCCUUUGUGACAUACCUAUAACUGUUGCUUCGGCGGGUAGGGUCUCCGUGACCCUCCCGGCCUCCCGCCCCCGGGCGGGUCGGCGCCCGCCGGAGGAUAACCAAACUCUGAUUUAACGACGUUUCUUCUGAGUGGUACAAGCAAAUAAUCAAAACUUUUAACAACGGAUCUCUUGGUUCUGGCAUCGAUGAAGAACGCAGCGAAAUGCGAUAAGUAAUGUGAAUUGCAGAAUUCAGUGAAUCAUCGAAUCUUUGAACGCACAUUGCGCCCGCCAGCAUUCUGGCGGGCAUGCCUGUUCGAGCGUCAUUUCAACCCUCAAGCUCUGCUUGGUGUUGGGGCCCUACAGCUGAUGUAGGCCCUCAAAGGUAGUGGCGGACCCUCCCGGAGCCUCCUUUGCGUAGUAACUUUACGUCUCGCACUGGGAUCCGGAGGGACUCUUGCCGUAAAACCCCCAAUUUUCCAAAGGUUGACCUCGGAUCAGGUAGGAAUACCCGCUGAACUUAAGCAUAUCAAUAAGGCGGAGGAAGAGAAGAA
rnacentral:rRNA from 1 species